CUUCCGGUCGAUUCACGGUGUCGAACGGAUGGAGUUCUCCUCAACUCGAUGGCGAGAAGCUGAAAGUGGACUUGGCUUGCUCAACCAAAUCGUCACGAUAGCAAAACGAAUCCCGAAAGCUACGGCGGUUUCGAUGCAUUCUCCGGCUACUCCGGUCACCGACGAUAGCAACUGAGAAUUGGUUGAGUUGGUGAGAUGAAGUGAGCAAUCUUUGUAAAUGGAAUGGUUGACGUGCUUCAGAAUAUAGUUCGUUGUUUCCAGACUAAGAGCAUGGACUUGGCGAAAUGGAACUACAAUGAAGUCUGGGAUUUCAUAAUUAUUAGCAUGUAUCAUUGAAGAUUGGAGACUGAGGAGAAGCAAGUGGUCAGAUUAAGGUUGUGGUGGAAGCUCUGUCAUUUGGACAAGAAUUGAAGCUGUGAAGAACAAUGACAACGUGCAUGUACCUUGGACCAAGAACCCAGCUGAAUAAAGAGACAAAAUUGGGCAAAAUU